rnacentral:rRNA from 1 species
AGCAGCCGCGGUAAUUCCAGCUCCAAUAGCGUAUAUUAAAGUUGUUGCAGUUAAAAAAGCUCGUAGUUGAAUUUCGGGAUCAAUAUAUCGGUCGUGCCUUCGGUACGUACUGGUAUCAUUGGUUUCUCCUUUCUGACGAACCAUGAUGUCAUUAAUUUGGUGUUAUGGGGAGUUAGGACUGUUACUUUGAAAAAAAUUAGAGUGUUUAAAGCAGGCUUUAAGCUUGAAUACAUUAGCAUGGAAUAAUGAAAUAGGACGUUCGAACCUAUUUUUGUUGGUUUCUAGGAUCAACGUAAUGAUUAAUAGGGAUAGUUGGGGGGCAUUAGUAUUCAAUUGUCAGAGGUGAAAUUCUUGGAUUAUUGGAAAGACUAACUACUGCGAAAGCAUUUGCCAAGGAUGUUUUCAUUAAUCAAAGAACGAAAGUUAGGGGAUCGAAGACGAUCAGAUACCGUCGUAGUCUUAACCAUAAACUAUGCCGACUAGGGAUCGGAUGAUGUUAAUUUUUUUAAUGACUCAUUCG